UACGUAGGAUCCGAGCGUUGUCCGGAAUUACUGGGUGUAAAGGGCGUGUAGGUGGGUCUUUAAGUCGGUGGUGAAAUCCUGCAGCUCAACUGCAGAACUGCUUCCGAUACUGAAGAUCUUGAGUACGGCAGAGGGAGAUGGAAUUCAUGGUGUAGCGGUGAAAUGUGUAGAUAUCAUGAAGAACACCGGUAGCGAAGGCGGUCUCCUGGUCCGUAACUGACACUGAGGCGCGAAAGCGUGGGGAGCAAACAGG
rnacentral:rRNA from 1 species